GAUGAACGCUAGCGGCAGGCUUAACACAUGCAAGUCGAGGGGUAUAGUAGCAAUACUAGAGACCGGCGCACGGGUGCGUAACGCGUAUGCAACCUACCUUUUACAGAGGGAUAGCCCCAGAGAAAUUUGGAUUAAUACCUCAUAGUGUUAUUAGAUGGCAUCAUUUGAUAACUAAAGUUCCAACGGUAAAGAUGGGCAUGCGUCCUAUUAGCUAGAUGGUAAGGUAACGGCUUACCAUGGCUACGAUAGGUAGGGGUCCUGAGAGGGAGAUCCCCCANACUGGUACUGAGACACGGACCAGACUCCUACGGGAGGCAGCAGUGAGGAAUAUUGGACAAUGGGCGCAAGCCUGAUCCAGCCAUGCCGCGUGCAGGAAGAAGCAUCUAUGGUGUGUAAACUGCUUUUUGUACGGGAAGAAACACUCCUACGUGUAGGAGCUUGACGGUACCGUAAGAUAAGGAUCGGCUAACUCCGUGCCAGCAGCCGNGGU
rnacentral:rRNA from 1 species